CAUCAGCCAAAGCAGGGCUAAAUGACGCCAAGUGUGGAUUACUUGAAUUGUAGCACUGCUGUUCAGCUGCCAAAAACAGCUUUUUGUUUGUAUUGCAAAUUUAAUUCACAGUGUGAGAGAAUCCUCUUGUUCUAUUAUUAUACUGACAGCCCUUAACACCAGCCCAGGCCGCUAGCAUCAUCCAGUGAUGAAAACUAGAAAUACAUCUUAGAAACUGACCUCUUGGCAUUGUGGAAAACAAACACUGCAGAAACCUGAAGUUACUAACAAGGGUUUGGAAAACCACUACCCCCACUCACGUUGUUACAAAUGACAAUUAAUUUAGAUGUUUAAAUAAGUGUCAUUCUUAGUGUGGCCUCCAAUUAGCAAACCGUUUGAGGGCUUAAGUUGCUAACGUUUAAAGUUGAAUUGAUUGACCAGAUAAGCAGGAUAACCUCAUUGACAGAGGAAGGGGAGAAAAAGAUUAUUUGACAACGGCAGCCUUUGCACUGCUAUGUAGACAGAAGGAUCUCACACGGAACCUUUACCCCCGCAGUCUCAUGAUCGAUGCAUGUUAGCUCACUUUCACUUCAUCACCUCUUUCUUGCUCUAAUCUCUCCCUCCCUCUAUAUCGCUCUACCUCCAUCUCUUCCUCUAAUUCUCUCUCUCUCACUCCAAGUCUUUCUCUCUCUCUCUCACUCCAAGUUUCUCUCUCCCUCAAAGUCUCUCUCUCUCUCUCUCUACAAGUCUCUCUCUCUCUCUCUCCCUACAAGUCUCUCUCUCUCUCCCUACAAGUCUCUCUCUCUCUCUCCCUACAAGUCUCUCUCUCUAACUCUCUCAAAGACUCUAUCUCUCACCAAGGCUCUCUCUCUCUCUCUCUCUCCAAGACUCUCUCUCCUUCCAAGUCUCUCUCUCUCUAAGUCUGUCUCUCUCUCCAAGUGUCUCUCUCUAUGAUCGAUGCAUGCCUGCUAGGUCCCUUUCACUUCAGUCUCUCCCUCCCUCUAUCGCUUUACCUCUGUCUCUCUCCCUCCCUCUAGGAAAGGAGAGAUCGAGAUGAGGUGUUGUCUCCUCUACACUAGAAGGGACAAGGGCUGAACGUUAACUACAACCUUGAUCCUCCGAAACCCCAAAAUCCCAGAAUGAACGGUCAACUGAACGAGCUGCACUUUAUAUAACUGUUUAAUUUUAUAAAUUUAAUCUAAAUCCAUUCAUCACAAAGCAACCUUUUCAUUUUAAAACAAAUAUUUUUUUAGAUAGCUAGAAAUUAAUGUAUUGUAUUGCCUCUGUAUUAAAUCACUCAAACUCUUACUAUUUGAAUAAGCAGCCUUAUUAAGGGUCAGGCCGCGUCCUGCUACGCGGUCCAAUACCUCCAUCUAGUGGCUACUUGACGCCAGUGGUUCUCUCCUGAUACACCAGUCUACAAUCACCAAUCACCAUUCCCUACUUCAGCCGGGGGAUCUCCUAUCAGCCGGCGCCAGUUCGUCGUUACGUCUACCCAUUCUCCCCCUGCCACCGAACCCCUGCCUGCCUGACUACCCGCCUGUCAUCGAGCCCUUGCCUGUCUGACUGCCUGCCUGUUACCGGAUCCCUGCC
ensembl:lncRNA